GAUGGCGACCGGCGCACGGGUGAGUAACACGUAUCCAACCUGCCGAUGACUCGGGGAUAGCCUUUCGAAAGAAAGAUUAAUACCCGAUGGCAUAAUGAUUCCGCAUGGUUUCAUUAUUAAAGGAUUCCGGUAAAGGAUGGGGAUGCGUUCCAUUAGGUUGUUGGCGGGGUAACGGCCCACCAAGCCUUCGAUGGAUAGGGGUUCUGAGAGGAAGGUCCCCCACAUUGGAACUGAGACACGGUCCAAACUCCUACGGGAGGCAGCAUG
rnacentral:rRNA from 1 species